rnacentral:tRNA from 1 species
GGAGACUUGUCAGAGUGGUCGAACGAGCAAGCCUGGAAAGUUUGUAUACGGGUAACUGUAUCGAGGGUUCGAAUCCCUCAGUCUCCG